GGGCGGGUGGUGGAACUGGCAUACACGAAGGACUUAAAAUCCUUUGGCCGUAAGGCCGCGUGGGUUCAAAUCCCACCUCGCCCA
rnacentral:tRNA from 1 species